ACGAACGCUGGCGGCGUGCUUAACACAUGCAAGUCGAACGAUGAAGAAAAGAAUUGAAGCUUCGGCAGAAAUUCAUUUCGGAUUAGUGGCAGACGGGUGAGUAACGCGUGAGCAACCUACCUCUUACAAAGGGAUAGCCUCGGGAAACCGGGAUUAAUACCAUAUAACAUUGCGACGAAGCAUUUCGAUGCAAUCAAAGCUACGGCGGUAAGAGAUGGGCUCGCGUCCCAUUAACCGGAUGGUGAGGUAACGGCUCACCAUAGUAACGAUGGGUAACCGGCCUGAGAGGGUGAACGGUCACACUGGAACUGAGACACGGUCCAGACUCCUACGGGAGGCAGCAGUGGGGAAUAUUGCACAAUGGAGGGAACUCUGAUGCAGCGACGCCGCGUGAGUGAUGAAGGAAUUCGUUUCGUAAAACUCUGUUCUAUGGGAAGAAAAGGACUGUACCAUAGGAGAAAGCUCCGGCUAAAUACGUG
rnacentral:rRNA from 1 species